GGGCCUAUAGCUCAGCUGGUUAGAGCGCACGCCUGAUAAGCGUGAGGUCGAUGGUUCAAGUCCAUUUAGGCCCAUUG
rnacentral:tRNA from 1 species